AGUGAACGCUGGCGGUAGGCCUAACACAUGCAAGUCGAACGGCAGCACAGUAAGAGCUUGCUCUUACGGGUGGCGAGUGGCGGACGGGUGAGGAAUACAUCGGAAUCUACUUUUUCGUGGGGGAUAACGUAGGGAAACUUACGCUAAUACCGCAUACGACCUACGGGUGAAAGCAGGGGAUCUUCGGACCUUGCGCGAUUGAAUGAGCCGAUGUCGGAUUAGCUAGUUGGCGGGGUAAAGGCCCACCAAGGCGACGAUCCGUAGCUGGUCUGAGAGGAUGAUACGCCCCACUGGAAAUUGGACACGGUCCCGACUCCCACGGGGGGGCAGCGGGGGGAAAUUUUGGCAAAGGGGGCCAAGCCUAAUCAGGCCAACCCGGGGGGGUGAAGAAGGCCUUCGGGUUGAAAAGCCUUUUUUUUGGGAAAAAAAAGCAGGAGGUUAAAACCCCGCUUUUUGGCCGGAACCCAAAAAAAAAGCACCGGUAAAUUCGGG
rnacentral:rRNA from 1 species